UGUAAGUGUGGGUAAGAAAAAGAAUGAAAAUGGAGAAAUCAAAACGUAGAGUGGA
rnacentral:sRNA from 1 species